AUUGAACGCUGGCGGCAGGCCUAACACAUGCAAGUCGGACGGUAGCACAGAGGAGCUUGCUCCUUGGGUGACGAGUGGCGGACGGGUGAGUAAUGUCUGGGGAUCUGCCCGAUAGAGGGGGAUAACCACUGGAAACGGUGGCUAAUACCGCAUAACGUCGCAAGACCAAAGAGGGGGACCUUCGGGCCUCUCACUAUCGGAUGAACCCAGAUGGGAUUAGCUAGUAGGCGGGGUAAUGGCCAACCUAGGCGACGAUCCCUAGCUGGUCUGAUGGGGUGACCUGCCACGCUGGCACAGAGACAUGGUCCAGACUCCUACGGGAGGCAGCAGUGGGGAAUGUUGCACAAUUGGCGCUAGCUUGAUGCAGCCAUGCCGCGUGUAUGCAGAAGUCCUUCGGGUUGUAAAGUACUUUCAGCGGGGAGGAAGGCGGUGAGGUUAAUAACCUCGCCGAUUGACGUUACCCACAGAAGAAGCACCGGCUAACUCCGUGCCAGACGCCGCAGUAA
rnacentral:rRNA from 1 species